rnacentral:rRNA from 1 species
UACGAAGGGGGCUAGCGUUGCUCGGAAUGACUGGGCGUAAAGGGCGCGUAGGCGGCGGUCACAGUCAGAUGUGAAAUUCCUGGGCUUAACCUGGGGGCUGCAUUUGAUACGUGGUUGCUUGAGUGGGGAAGAGGGUCGUGGAAUUCCCAGUGUAGAGGUGAAAUUCGUAGAUAUUCGGAAGAACACCAGUGGCGAAGGCGGCUUACUGGUCCGGAACUGACGCUGAGGUGCGAAAGCGUGGGGAGCAAACAGG